UCGACAUCUACACCAUUUUCAUAUAAUAUAGGUGAAGAAAUUUCAUCAAUCUCCGCAUCUUUCCUAUAUAAUGAAAGGGGAUAUGGUAGUCAUGCUACAUAGCAUGACAAUGUUCUUGAUCAAGGGAAAAUUAGAGAUGAUGACGGCCCUUAAAUGUUAUUGCCGAUGUCAUAGACUAGUCAGAAGUUGCGUUAUUGGUCAUUAAUCAAUUUAAAGUUUCAAAAUGUUGGUUCUACUUAUCGAUUGAAGGACGUUGUAAACUUGCAUUAUGACAUGACAUGCAAGAGAACAAGCAUUAGCUAUUGUGUUAGGAAGAUGCCGUCAGAGUUAUACAAAUUUUUUUAUUUUCAAGGGUUCUUAUAACAAUUUGUAUAACUCUUAUGACGACCCUUAACAAUAGCUAAUUAACAUUUGUUCUUUUGUCUUCCUAGUCUUGUAAUAACUCAAGUUCAUACUGAAUAAAGAAAUUAAUUAAGUACGAUCAA